ACGAGUAAAUUUGAAAAGGGUUGUAGCUGGCCACAAACCAAACCAAAAACAAUAAAUAAACCAAGGCAUGUGCACACCCUGCUCAAUCCACUCUCAUACCCCUGUGCACUUAUUGUAGGCUCGGUGGCAUGGCGCUCGCGCGUCAGUAAGCCUUGCCUACGUUUAUAUAUCACAAACUCAGUUAAAGAAUGUAACCUCGCGUUUAACGCAAUAAAUA
rnacentral:misc_RNA from 1 species